rnacentral:lncRNA from 1 species
UGUUUCUUCCUGAAAUUUCAUUUGGAAAGGCCCAAUGGAGAUCAAAACAAUUCUGGGAAGUUAGCAGCCCGCCCUGGGCUCUUGCAUAGUUUGCAUCCCACAAAGGCACAAGGAAGGGUCCCAUAUUGGGCAAGUGUAUGUGUCAGGGACUUUUUUGUGCAGAGGUUCUGUGAUCAUCCACCUCUGCCUAGCCAAAUGCAUAGAGCUGCUGCAGCAGAACCUGCUCCUCCUCGAAGGACCUGCUUCAGCCUAUGCCAUGUAACCAAAAUUGUGCCUCUUUGACCUUCAUCCUUGGAAUCCUGCUUUGCAUAGGAAAAAAAAGCCUGGAAAUGGAAAGGCUGGAAGACACUUCUCCUUUCACCCAUCCUUCACCUCACUUCCUCUACAUACAAAGCUUUAGCACUCUUCAUGUUUCAUGCACUCUUCGUGUUUCAGCUGAGCAAGAAGAGCCUGUCCCCCCAAACCUCCAACUUAGCUUACAAAAAAGGCAAGCAACUCAGUCCAGAAGUUUGCUAUGGAAUUAAUGCUCUUCUUUUUUAAUGGCAAACAACAGGUUUGUGAUUGUGUAAGUUACUCUUGCUGUCAGUUCAAUUCCUACCUCCUAGAAGAAUUUACCCAAAUAUUUUAUGCCAACAAAAAGUAUAUUCCCUUAUUUGUGUAGAUAGAGAACCCAUCUUGCCUUAUGACAGUUUCCUUCAUCCACAAGAACAGAAUUACUUGUCCUAAAUAUUAGGUGGUCUUUAAGUAUCUCUGCCUAUGGAAAAAGGAAUUAUGAAUAACUGAAUGUUGCUGACUUUGUUUUUUAAUAGAAAGUUGGUAGGGAAGGUAGAUCCGCUGUGUUUAUCCUGUGAAACCGUAUGUUGGUGAGAGGUAUCUAUGCAGUGAAAUUUUCUAGUUUAUGAGACUGGUGUCAUUUGAGAAGUAAUUGAAGCCUGGAAUCCAUCUGAAUGAGGCAGAAUUUCACAGGAUGGUUUGGGUUGGAAGAGAUCUUAAGAGUCAUCUAAUGUUCUGACCUCAUUAGCCAUGGGCAGGGACACCUUCCACUAAAUCAUUUUGCUCAAACCCCAUUCAACAUGACCUUGAAC